UUCAGGCCGCCGCGCCGCCAACGGACGCCGGGGACCACACCGCCGCCCCUUCCCUCCCAGCGCCGGCGCGCCACGUGAGCCCUUGACUCCAUCCCUCCCCCGCCGCGCGUCAACGAUGUGAGUGUCGUGGUCUCUUAUCCCCUUGAUUUGUUUUCGUUCUUUAUUGAUCUAUUAAUCUGUUAUAAUGCUAGAUAGAUAGGGCUCAAAUGUGCUUGUUCACGAGUGAUUUUUAGAUAAUGUUUGAACUCUCUGUUGUCUGAUUUGGUAAAAUGGAUCUGCAAGUCGGCCCAGACAUGGCGGCGGAGGGCGACCAAGUCAGCGAUCCAGACGGCGACCUGGGCACGGCGGCGGAAGGCGCGACGGCGGAGGGAGAAGCCGUGAUUGUCGUGCUUCCUUCGGCGAGCUCAGCUGCGGCAUCGUCGGCGUGGCCACAAGGGAAUAUGGCAUCAAAAGUAUAUGGGAGCCCUAAAUUGUAGGGGAGGUUUGGCAGAGAUUGAAGGGGGUUAAAUCCCAUACAAGUCAAAUACCCCCCAAAUCCCCUCCAAUCCCCUUGGGACAAGGUGUAAUUAACCGAACAAAGCCUUAGGAGUCUCUUUUCAUUUCAGAUUAGUUUCCAUGACACACCUCAUCUCAUGGCCUCCUAGACAGAUCUCUUGCAGUAAAACAUAGAUAUUUGACUUCAGCGAGACAUCAAAGCAUUUCCAAAUAACCUCGAGUCUACGAUGACUUUGUAAUUAAAAUUUAUAUGCA